rnacentral:rRNA from 1 species
AUUGAACGCUGGCGGCAGGCCUAACACAUGCAAGUCGGGCGGAUGAAGGGAGCUUGCUCCUGGAUUCAGCGGCGGACGGGUGAGUAAUGCCUAGGAAUCUGCCUGGUAGUGGGGGAUAACGUCCGGAAACGGGCGCUAAUACCGCAUACGUCCUGAGGGAGAAAGUGGGGGAUCUUCGGACCUCACGCUAUCAGAUGAGCCUAGGUCGGAUUAGCUAGUUGGUGGGGUAAAGGCCUACCAAGGCGACGAUCCGUAACUGGUCUGAGAGGAUGAUCAGUCACACUGGAACUGAGACACGGUCCAGACUCCUACGGGAGGCAGCAGUGGGGAAUAUUGGACAAUGGGCGAAAGCCUGAUCCAGCCAUGCCGCGUGUGUGAAGAAGGUCUUCGGAUUGUAAAGCACUUUAAGUUGGGAGGAAGGGCAGUAAGUUAAUACCUUGCUGUUUUGACGUUACCAACAGAGUAAGCACCGGCUAACUUCGUG